rnacentral:rRNA from 1 species
GCGAGAGACCGAUAGCGAACAAGUACAGUGAUGGAAAGAUGAAAAGAACUUUGAAAAGAGAGUGAAAAAGUACGUGAAAUUGUUGAAAGGGAAGGGCUUGAGAUCAGACUUGGUAUUUUGUAUGUUACUUCUUCGGGGGUGGCCUCUACAGUUUAUCGGGCCAGCAUCAGUUUGGGCGGUAGGAGAAUUGCGUUGGAAUGUGGCACGGCUUCGGUUGUGUGUUAUAGCCUGCGAGAGACCGAUAGCGAACAAGUACAGUGAUGGAAAGAUGAAAAGAACUUUGAAAAGAGAGUGAAAAAGUACGUGAAAUUGUUGAAAGGGAAGGGCUUGAGAUCAGACUUGGUAUUUUGUAUGUUACUUCUUCGGGGGUGGCCUCUACAGUUUAUCGGGCCAGCAUCAGUUUGGGCGGUAGGAGAAUUGCGUUGGAAUGUGGCACGGCUUCGGUUGUGUGUUA